GUCAGCAUGGUGUAAUGGUUUGAAUGUUGGGCUAUGGACCUGAAGACCAGGAUUCAAAUCCCUGAUCAGCCA